GUGCCAGACUCCUACGGGAGGCAGCAGUGAGGAAUAUUGGUCAAUGGGCGAGAGCCUGAACCAGCCAAGUCGCGUGAGGGAAGACGGCCCUACGGGUUGUAAACCUCUUUUGUCAGGGAGCAAGAACAGAUACGUGUAUCUGAGCGAGAGUACCUGAAGAAAAAGCAUCGGCUAACUCCGUGCCAGCAGCCGCGGUAAUACGGAGGAUGCGAGCGUUAUCCGGAUUUAUUGGGUUUAAAGGGUGCGUAGGCGGAUUUUUAAGUCAGCGGUAAAAUGUCCGGGCUCAACCCGGGCCGGCCGUUGAAACUGGGGAUCUUGAGUGGGCGAGAAGUAUGCGGAAUGCGUGGUGUAGCGGUGAAAUGCAUAGAUAUCACGCAGAACUCCGAUUGCGAAGGCAGCAUACCGGCGCCCGACUGACGCUGAGGCACGAAAGCGUGGGGAUCGAACAGGAUUAGAUACCCCCGUA
rnacentral:rRNA from 1 species